AAGUUGGAAAAGGUGUAUAUGAUGUAAAUAAAUAUAUAAAAAAUACAGCAGGGAUCCAUUAAAGUGGAAAUAGUUUUUAGAUUAGUAUUGAUUGCUAUCUGACAGUGAUUAAAAUAACAGUCGUAAAACACUUUGAUGCGUAUUUAAAACAUAUUUAAAAAUAAAUUUAACACAUCUCCUAAAAAUGGCAUGACUUUUAACAAUAGAAGUGAUUAAUAAUAGACAAUAAGUUACCGGAACUGUUUUCUUUCUUUAAUCAUAUAAUACAUUUAACAAGCUUUAAUUUGAAAUAAUUUAGAGUUAUAAAUAUAUAAUAGAUAAAAGUGUUAUUAUCGUGGUCUAAAAAUACAAAGAAGGUUAGAAAAUAAAUUACAACUAAUUGAUUAAAGAUCAAAAGUCAUUGAAUUUGUCAUAUCUUCAUCACUCACUGCAGAGGGCGUCGAUCACUAAUACAUGUAAUGCUAUCGAUUUAUAUACCACAUUUGUUUGAUAAGGAAAAUGCUUCUCCUAAUAAAUGUCUAUAAUUUUGAGAAAAAAAAUAUCUUCAUAAUAUUUAAUAAACAAACAACACUAAAAAGAAAUUGAAGAUGUUGAUGUCUUGCUUGGCUUACGGAUUGAUGACCGAAUUGAUUCAACCUUUUUUCAAACGUAUUUGUUAUCUAGUUGCAACAGGAUGUGUGUGUCAAUUAUUUUUUAAAAUUUUGUUAAUUAUUAGUUAUAACUUCUAAUUAAUAAAAUUUUUUUUUGUACUUGCGUCCUAUUGCAACUAGACAAAACACAUAUGGUGCAACAAAAAUUUAUUUAUAGCUAAAUAAUGAAUGAACUACAGGAAAAAAUUACUGUCUCAUAAUACUGAUAGAAGAAUUGGUAUGAAUAUGAUAAUGUUAAAAUAUAAUAAAUUGGAAGUUGACCAAUUAUUUACCACAUUAAUAUACAAUGCUUAAAAAUAGUUGAAUUGAUAAGUUAAUGGCAAAUUAAACAUACCUAGUAUCACACGAUUUGUAUUAUAAUUUAAAAAAUAAAUGAUUUACAGAACCUGAUCUUAGCUGAUUGUUGUAAAAGUAAGAACACUGUAGUAGCUAGAUUUAUUU